CAUGGCUUAGCCCCACCCCCAAUCUCUGCUUCUGCACUGCGAAGUAGUUGCGGUGCGUGAAACAAGUCGGGCAGGGGACGAUCGUUUUCACAACUGAUUUUCGUCUGUCCGAGUCUGGAUUCUUCAAUGAGGUCGUCUAGUCACUUGUAGCGGCUUGGGGAGAAGAUUGAUCUGAGCGCUACCGGGAAAACUACUUGAGUUUUCUCUUCCAGUCGGGACUGAAAAUGAAAUUCUGGAUUUUUGCACUCGUUGUCAUCACGGCAUUAGAAGCAACACACGGGGUAAGUGCGAUUUGUUUACUCAGUGCGUCUCUAGACACAAGUAUGCGCAGUAUAUUGUUUAAACAA
rnacentral:lncRNA from 1 species